AAAAAUAAUAUACUUUAAUAUGAUAAAAUAUUUUCAAUGAUGGUAGGUGGUAAGUGUGCGGAACCAAGUAGACGAAGGAACAAGAGGCCGAGGUUGAGAACUCCAUAUUCUGUACUGAAUUGAAGGUUAACUCAUGAAUUUGUUCCUGAAGGAGACAGAAUAAUCAUGUUGGUGGAGGCAGUUGUCUCCUUUGCAGUUGAAAGGCUUGGCGACCUACUAAUUCAAGAGGCCAGAUUCUUAAAUGGGGUCAGUGAUGAAGUCAAAAAAAUGAAAAAUGAACUAAAGAGGAUGCAAUGCUUCCUAAGAGAUGCUGAGAGAAAGCAGGAUGAAAGUGAGACUAUUAAGAAUUGGAUAUCAGAAAUCAGAAAAUUAGCUUAUGAUGCUGAGGAUGUGAUUGAAAUUUAUGCUAUCAAGGCUGCAUUUGGCAUAAAUGUUGGUACCAAAAAUCCCUUCUACAGAAGUAAAAAUCUUCACAAAGUUGGAUCUGAGAUUAUAUCCAUAAAUUCUCGAAUAACUGAUCUCACAAGAAGCUUACAAACUUAUGGUUUGACUGCAACAAGAGACAAUGGAAAUUCGCGCUUUGCUUUUGAGAUGCAAAGACAAUUGAGAUGGUCUUAUUCUCAUAUAGUUGAAGAGUUCAUCGUUGGCUUAGAUGAGGACAUAGGCAAAGUGGUGGGAUGGCUAUUAAAUCAAGAUCAGCAAUGCCGAGUGGUUUAUAUUUGUGGAAUGGGUGGUCUUGGAAAAACUACACUUGCCAAAAGCAUUUAUCAUUACAAUGCAAUUAGGCGCCACUUUGAAGGUUUUGCUUGGGCCUAUAUAUCUCAGCAAUGCAAGAAAAGAGACGUUUGGGAGGGAAUUUUGUUGAAGCUUACUUCUCCUUCUAAGGAGGAGAGGGAUGAGAUUAUGAAAAUGAGAGAUGAAGAACUGGCAAAGAAGUUGUAUAAAGUUCAGCAAGAGAAAAAAUGUUUGAUCAUCUUGGAUGAUAUAUGGAGCAAUGAUGAUUGGGACAUUCUAAGCCCUGCUUUUCCAUUAGAAAAUACAAGGAGUAAGAUAGUUUUUACAUCCCGCAAUAAAGGAAUUUCAUUGCAUGUAGAUUCCAAAGGCUUGCUUCAUGAACCAAGUUGUUUAAAUGCAGAGGACAGUUGGGUACUGUUUCAGAAGAAAGCUUUUCCAAGAAAAUAUGAUCCAGAAUUCUCAAUAUUCGAUGACUUUGAAAGAUUAGGCAAAGAAAUGGUUGCCAAGUGUGCUGGUCUGCCUUUAGCUAUCAUAGUGCUUGGAGGGCUUUUGGCUACAAAGGACACAGUUGGAGAGUGGGAAACAAUACAUAGAUAUAUAAGUUCAUACUUAAUAGGAGGAGAGAUAAAUGAAAGGCGAAGAUUAGCUGAGGUGUUGGAUUUAAGUUACCAGGAUUUGCCUGGUGAACUGAAACCAUGUUUUCUCUAUUUAAGUCAGUUCCCUGAGGACUCAGAGAUACCAAAAAACAAAUUAAUUCAGUUAUGGGUAGCAGAAGGUGUUGUUUCAUCUCAAUAUGAGAUUGAAAGGGAUGAGACAAUGGAGGAUCUUGCUGAAAGCUACCUAGGUAACUUAAUUAGCCGCUGCAUGGUUCAAGUUGGUCAGAUGGGAUCUACUGGUAGGAUUAAAACCUGUCGGCUCCAUGAUUUAAUGCGUGAUCUGUGUUUAUCAAAGGCCAAAAAAGAACAUUUUCUCUACAUUAUUGGUGGAUCACAACAAAAUAAUACCAUUGAUGUUGCUUCUUCAUCUUAUCCAUCAGAAAGACAAAGUGGUGAAGUUCGCAGACUUGCUGUGUUCUUGGAUCAACAUGUUCAUCAACUGAUCCCACGAAACGAGCAAAUGAAUCAAUACCUUAGAUCUCUUGUGUUUUUUCAUGACAAGAAAUGUAGAGUGGAAAAUUGGGAGCCAAUCAAAGGUAUUUUUAAGAACUUCAUAUUGCUUAGAAUUCUAGAUCUUGAGGGAAUUAAGGGGCUAAAGGGACAGUCACUGCCUAAAGAAGUGGGAAAUCUUUUAUUUUUGAAGUUUCUAAGUCUAAAAAGAACUCGCAUACAAACACUGCCAGCUUCCUUGGGCAAUUUGGAAAAUUUGCAGUCCUUAAAUUUGCAAACUAUCAAUAAAGUGAGCUGGGAUUCAACUGUAGAAAUUCCAAACGUAAUAUGGAAGUUGACGCAGUUGAGACAUCUAUAUCUUCCCAAUUGGUGUGGCAAUGUUGCUAACAACCUGAAAUUGGAAAAUCUGACUAAUUUACAGACACUAGUAAAUUUUCCUGCCAGCAAAUGUGAUGUAAAAGAUCUGUUGAAGUUGAAAAAGCUUCGAAAAUUAGUACUGAAUGACCCGAGGCAUUUUCAAAAAUUCAGUGAAAGUUUAAGUCACCCUAAUAAAAGAUUGAACUGCCUUCAAUCAUUGUCCUUAAGAACUGACAUGCUUUCCUUCCCAGAUAAUGUGGUAGAUGUUGAAAAAUUGGUAGGAGGUUGUCCUUCACUCCAUAAACUGCAGGUAGAAGGGAGGGUGGAAAGGCUGCCAGAAGCCCCACUAUUUCCUCCUCAGCUUUCAAAGUUAACUUUAUGGGGUUGCAGACUUGUGGAAGACCCUAUGGUAACACUAGGGAAGCUUCCUAACUUGAAGUUCCUUAGUGGUUGGGAAAUGUUUGUUGGAGAGAAAAUGGUAUGCUCACAAAAUGGCUUUCCUCAGCUAAAAGUUCUAAUACUUCGUGGGUUGCCUAAUUUAGUGGAAUGGACAAUAGAGAAUCAAGCCAUGUCUAGUCUUCAUCGAUUGAGCAUAUCUGAUUGCAAUAAAUUAAAGACUGUUCCUGAUGGACUAAAAUUUGUUGCUAGUCUCCAAGAACUGGAAAUCAGAUGGAUGCCCAAAUCAUUCAAGACUAGGCUUGGAACUGCUGGAGAGGAUUACCAUAAAGUCCAACAUGUACCAUCUAUUGUAUUUUUGAACUAAAUACCAGUUACAAGUUACUUUCUCAAAAUUCUUUUUAAUCAGCGUUUUAUUGUUCAAGCAAUAGGUCAUUGUGCUUCAGAAGGUGAAGUUUUAAAGCCUCAAUUUUUAAGCAUUAUAUCAGUUUGUUCGUGCUUGCACGGUGCCUCUAUGGAUUCAAUUGAAACAUUUGCAAGAUUGUUUGUAUGGACUUAGUGUGUUGCCAAACUUGUAACUCCCAUUUGAUCCAAAUUUUCUUAGGAUAUAUAUUACCGAUCCGGUUUCGAAAGAUUACUUCUCUCCCAUAACUUCAAGAUUAUUUAACUUUGUCCACGAAAUUAAUUGCAGACUAUGAUGUUUUUCCUUUUACUUUGAAAUUAUUUGUAAUUGAAAAUUAUUUUAAAUUCUGCUCAUGUUAAAUUGGGUAAAUUUAUUU